AGCGCAGGCGGGAAGACAAGUUGGAAGUGAAAACCAUGGGCUCAACCCAUGAAUUGCUUUCAAAACUGUUUUUCUUUGAGUAGUGCAGAGGUAGAUGGAAUUCCCGGUGUAGCGGUGGAAUGCGCAGAUAUCAGGAGGAACACCGAUGGCGAAGGCAGGUCACUGGGCCAUUACUGACGCUGAGGAGCGAAAGCAUGGGGAGCGAACA
rnacentral:rRNA from 1 species